rnacentral:rRNA from 1 species
GAUGAACGCUAGCGGCAGGCUUAACACAUGCAAGUCGAGGGGCAGCGUGGAGCAGCAAUGCUCUGACGGCGACCGGCGGAAGGGUGCGUAACACGUGAGCGACUUGCCCGUCACAGGGGGAUAACCGGCGGAAACGGCGACUAAUACCCCAUACGAUGUGAUGCUGCAUGGCAUUGCAUUGAAAGAUUCAUCGGUGGCGGAUAGGCUCGCGGGACAUUAGCUAGACGGCGGGGCAACGGCCCACCGUGGCGACGAUGUCUAGGGGUUCUGAGAGGAAGGCCCCCCCANACUGGGACUGAGACACGGCCCAGACUCCUACGGGAGGCAGCAGUGAGGAAUAUUGGUCAAUGGGCGGAAGCCUGAACCAGCCAUGCCGCGUGAAGGACUAAGGCCCUACGGGUCGUAAACUUCUUUAGACGCAGAGCAAUAAGGUCCACGCGUGGACCGAUGAGAGUAUGCGUAG